UAAAUGCACAAGUAGAGAUUUAACUCAGAUCUGUGGAACAAAAUUUUUACAGCACAGUGCCAGCAAUUAUUCUAGGUACUUUAUAAAUACUAAUGCAUCAGAUCUUCAUAAUGAUUCCCAAGGUAGAGACUUAGGUACAUACCAUUUUGCAGGUGUGUUCAUUACCACAGAGGGAGGUUAAGUAAAUGGCAGAGGUGGAAUUCAAACCCAGGCAGCCAGACUCCAGAGGCCUUGCUUUGAACCACACUACUAGAUGGCCUUUUCCAUACUAACAGCUUGUUGCUCCCACUGCAUUGGUCUGCUUAAGAAGGCAAACAGACACAUGAGGACAGAUAUAAUGAAUUGAGUGCUGAGGUCAACAGCUGUGGCUAUAGCAUUUGGACCUCUGUCACAUUUAGUGACGAAAAGUCAGUGCAAUGCCUUAAGGAAGAAAAGAGGGGAAGGAAUUAUCAUGCUAUGGAGUAAAUGAUAUCCUCUACAAAUUUUUAUGUUGACACUUUAACCCCCAACGACACAGUAUUUGUAGAUAAGGCUUAUAAAGAGGUAAUAAUUAAGGUUAAAUGAGGUCAUAAGGGUAAAGACCCAAUAUGAUUGGUUAGUGUUCCUAUAAGAACCAACACCAGAAGGCUCACUUAGGCUUGUACUUUGGCUCACUCUCUUCUUUCUCUGUGUCUCAUCAUGCAGAAAGAAGAGGGCAUGUGAGCACACAGUAAGAUGGCAGCUUCCCAGAAGGCAAGAAAGAUGCCUCAGAAUGAAACCCACCUUCCCAGCACCAUGAUAGGAAAUUUCCAGCCUCCAUUAUAUUGAGAAAUAAGUGUCUAUGGUUUUAGCCAUCCAGUCUAUGGUGAUUUGUUAUGGCAGCCCGAGUAGAUAAAGACACAUUGAAACGAGAUAGUUACGUAGUCCCCAUCACAGGUCUUACAAAAGCGUUGGCUCAUUUACUCAGCCUGCAGCUCUCAACCCCUCAUGGAAGGGGGAACAUGCAGGUGAGUGAGUGCAGAGGCCAGAAUGAGUGCUGAUGGGUGCCAGCAGGAGUAGAAUUCUGUGCAACCUUGUGGCAGCAUCUUGGGGGGUACCUGUGACUCAUGGAGCCCCAGAGUGGGUGUGUUAACAAUGUGCUCUUUUAGCUUUGCCAUCCACAUAUGGCUUAAGUGUUUAAUAGCUCAGUGGAGGGUUAGGGUUAUAGCCUUUUGCACACAUCCUCUUGGUACCCGAGUUCUUGUCUAGUAUCCUGGAAGAAUCAGGUUGUACAAACAAAUUGAAGGGUGGUGAAUAUGGAGGAUUUUAUUGAGCAGUGGACGUGACUCUCAGCAGAAUGGGGACAUGGAAAGGGGAUCGAGUGGGAAGGUGGUCUUCCCCUGGAGUCCUCUGUCACUGGCUGAACUCUUCUCCAAAGUCUCACCAUCAAGCUGUCCCUUUGAAAUCAAGCUGCUUCUCUCUGAUGUCCACCUGCUUCUUUUCUCCUUUGCUGCUCUGCCACACUGAAGCUCUGCCAGUGAAGCCUGGGAUUUUUUUUAACAGGAUGGGGUGCAGGGAGGCCCAUAAGGUAACAUUCAAGCAGGAAAACAGGAAUGCAUGUUCUCACUUUGGGCCAUCAUCCCAGAUUUGAGGGUAUGGCCCUCACCAGGGACUACCUUCUUCUACUUAGUAUUUCCCUGCCUCCUAUCCAUGUAAAUAUUGUGUCUCUGGAAAGUCCUGGGGUUAACCUAAUUUAACCUAAGGCACAGAUGGAUCCAGGGGCUCAAAGAAUAUUAUUAGCCUCUACCCACUCUAUCUUUCUCUCACUCUCACAUUCUUUCUUUCUCACACACAUAUAUACAACACACACAAACACUUUUCAUUGACUCUAGUUUGUUUCUGCUUUGCUCUGAAUUGACCAUAUUCUUAGGUCCGUUUCCAUUGUGUGCUCCCACUCUCACCAGGUUAACAUGGGAUCCUAGUGCAUAAUUGUAGUGAGAUCUCAGGAGGACGAAUGCUUCUUUCUCCGUAAUCCUAAUAAAAGGGUUGCCUAGCUUAGGUCAGAAAUUUAUCCUUGAACCAAUUACUAUGGCAAAGGCAAUGUAUGCAGUGACUGGCUAAGCCUGAGUUACUUACCUACCCUUGCAACCCUUAGCUUCUAAUCAGCCUCUUUUGAACAACAAGCUGAGGAUGGAGAGGGGAGGCUUCCCAAAAGGAAAUCAGAAUGUCUGCACCAGGAGAGAGAGAGAAAGGGAUGCCAGGAAGGCAAUAUUGCUCAAUUCCACCAGUGUUACAAACCUACUAGGCCAUUAAUUCACAAUCACAGCUGUGUGCUGAAAUGAUCCAGGAGACUGUAAAAAAAAACAAAACUAUGCCAAAGGCUUACCUUCAGAUGUUCUGAUUAAAUGCUUUUUCUCAGAACUCUACCUACAGAAAUCAAGGACUCUAGUCUCACAUACUUUUAUUUAUUUGGUAGGUUAAUGCUGAGGUUUAGCCUUUUCAGGUAUAGGUUAUUGGAAACUAAUGAAAGAGUCCCAAUUCAACCACUUUUUAAUAUUUGUUUAAAAUACUCCUCAAAUGCACCCAGGUAACAAAAAUGAUAAUAUUCCUUUCCAUAAAAAUUAGUGAGUAGAAGAAAAUUAUGUUUUGAGAAGUAAAUUAUAAGAUCUAGAAUCAAUGGUUUAUGGUAUAAAUAGGCAAAGCAAUCUAAAGGAGCCAGAAAGGAGCUAAGGCCAUCAGUACAAGAAACAUACAAUGCAUUCUUAUCAGUUUAUUUUUGUGAACUAUCACAUGAUGUAUUCACGGUGAGUUUUGGUGCCAAUAAUGUAUACUCCCAACAGGAAAAGAGCUGCAGUGCAGUCUUUUGUCCUCCAAGUAUUGAUCACUGCUAAAUUUGCUAGUUUUAGUACUGCCAUUGAUGUCUUAUUUCUCUCUUUCUAGUUUUUUGCUUAUGUAAGCAAUAAACAUGGAAACAAAACCUAACUGAAACAAGAAGUAAGAAAGAAUGUAGAGCCUGGAAGAGCUGUGAAACACCAUUUUUCAGCACUGCUAAAUUCCUAGCUGAAGAAACUGCUGGGGUCUUCAGAGAAAAGGGAACUGAGAAAAGGGAUAGCAGUCUUCAGCUCAGAGGAGUGCCUGAACAUCUAGGAAUAUGCGUAUUAACAGAGUUGGAACCUGAUUUAAAGUGGAAAGACUCCUGCCUCCUCACUUCCAAUAGCCAGAGCCUGUCUUUGGUAGGCUGUUUGCAGCAGGAAAGAGAUGCAAAAGAAGGAAGAGUCAUGGAAGGAGAUAAGGAUCCUGGUGAGACCCAAAUGAGACAACAAGUGGACAUAACAAAAGCAGAGCUGAUGUAAUUAAUGAAAAAAAGAUGGCUAUUUGAAAUAGUGAAGGCUCCGAACAACAGAAUGGAAUGGAAAUGAAGUCCACAUUUAGGGACAAUUCAUUAUUUAUCUGCUGUACUUUUUAUGCACACUGUGUUCUGCUAAUUCUCUCUCCUGGGAGAAUACCAAAACAGGUAAGUAAGUAAUACAAGCAUGAGUAGUUAGAAGCUAUGAUAUGAGCAGCGGGCAGAUGGAGCUAUUCCUUGAAUAUCAAUUAGCAUAGUCCAUCCAACUUGAAGACUCUUACAAUUGAAUACUUCAACUUAAUGGAUCUGUUUUCAAAUUCCCUUUAAUGGCCCUUCUGUGACCAUAAUAUCUACUUUUCCAGACAUCCUAAGUAGAAACCAUUAUGGACAAUGUAUGUAGAAUUCCCUAAGGAUAGCAUAUGGAGGGGAGAAUGUGAGUUGCCAAAUUUAGCAGCUCUGGAGAGCGUGUUUUUGAAUUAAACUUGAAUCUAUGGGGAUUACAGUUCAUUUAUGACUGACAAAACAUAUCGUCCCAAUUCUGAAAGAUAAAUCCCACUGAUAUACAUGUGGAUUUCACAGGGUUUCUCAAAACUAGAAGGAAAAAAAAACCCUUUCCACAAAACGCAGUUCUAUAACGAUUUUGGAUUUAUGAUAAGCCACAUGUUCUUUUUGCAGUUUUCCUCAGGUUAAAUGAGGAAUUUUCUAAGUAGUGUGCCAACUGUACUUACAACCUGAGGAAGCUCAGAUCAGAAGAUUCAUCCCUUACAUAUUAUAGUAAGAGCUCUAUUUUUGAAAGAAGAGAAUUGAAGACUGAAAUGCAGUGGCAAUGGGCUUUAGGAAUUUAUUUUAAAUAAAUUUUAUUUUUUGAAAUUUUAUUUUAAAUAAAUUU